GAUUAAGAACGUAGCGAAAUGCGAUAAGUAGUGUGAAUUGCAGAAUUCAGUGAAUCAUCGAAUCUUUGAACGCACAUUGCGCCUCCUGGUAUUCCGGGAGGCAUGCCUGUUCGAGCGUCAUCAAAAACCUCAACCCAUGAUUUAUUGUGAGUUGGUUCUGCAUUGGACUCCUUGUGGGUCCUUUGCGAAAUCCAAUGGCGAAGAGCCACGCAACCAAAGCGUAGUAUAACUAUUUCGUUAUGGAAGCGUGGGUGCCUCUGCCGUAACCCCCAAUUUCUUAGUUUUUGACCUCGGAUCAGGUAGGGAUACCCGCUGAACUUAAGCAUAUCAAUAAGCGGAGGA
rnacentral:misc_RNA from 1 species